CUUGUUGAUGAUUGAGUUUUAUAUCCUUGACUUGCCAUGUGAGAGUUUGAUCCAAUCAUGCCACUUGAUUAUUUUUUUUUUGGAGUGAUCAACAUGAUUUUGUAAAUUAUUAUAUUAUCUAUUUUUCUUUCUUUUUCUCCCUUUCAUUGCUAAGGGACUAGCAAUGUGUCAGUUGGGGGGAGUGAUUACUACCCAAAAAGUGCUAUUUUGCGCCUUUAAUUCAUUAUGUUUUAAGCACUUUUGUG
rnacentral:lncRNA from 1 species